UACGUAGGGUGCAAGCGUUGUCCGGAAUUAUUGGGCGUAAAGAGCUCGUAGGCGGUCUGUCGCGUCUGCUGUGAAAACUCAGGGCUUAACCCUGAGCUUGCAGUGGGUACGGGCAGACUAGAGUGCGGUAGGGGAGACUGGAAUUCCUGGUGUAGCGGUGAAAUGCGCAGAUAUCAGGAGGAACACCGGUGGCGAAGGCGGGUCUCUGGGACGGUACUGACGCUGAGGCGCGAAAGCGUGGGGAGCAAACAGG
rnacentral:rRNA from 1 species